rnacentral:pre_miRNA from 1 species
CAGCUCUUCUCGCGUGCUCUGAGACAAUCACCAGGUUUUGCCCCAAAGGUCGGCCCUGGCAGUGGCAAUAGCCCUCUCUGAGAUCGCGAUUAAAGCUGGU